rnacentral:rRNA from 1 species
AUGCAUGAUCAGGUCGGCCUGGACCUGGACGGCUUCCCACUUGAGCACGAGUUUCUAGAGGACUACGGGCAAUAGGAAGAGGACGAGUGCGACUUCGAAGGGGAGCCUUUGUUCGAGGACGAGCUCGCCAAUCAAACCGCCGGGGCAAAGCCGAAGAGAAAGAGCAAGCAGACCAAGGCAUACACGACGGCCGAGGACAAACUUCUUUGUGAGUGUUGGAGAGACAUUGCGUAAGACCCCAAGACGGGCGCUGAACAAAAGGCAUCAACCUUUUGGAUUCGUGUCCACUGUGAGUUCCAUGAGCGCGAGAAAUUUCCGCCGUACCAAAUAGUAAGCACGUGCGGGUGGGUGUCCAUUUCGAAGCGAUGA